UACGGAGGGGGCUAGUGUUGUUCGGAAUUACUGGGCGUAAAGCGUGCGCAGGCGGUUGUGCAAGACAGAGGUGAAAUCCCCGGGCUUAACCUGGGAAUGGCCUUUGUGACUGCACGGCUAGAGUGUGUCAGAGGGGGGUAGAAUUCCACGUGUAGCAGUGAAAUGCGUAGAGAUGUGGAGGAAUACCGAUGGCGAAGGCAGCCCCCUGGGAUAACACUGACGGCUCAGGCACGAAAGCGUGGGGAGCAACAGG
rnacentral:rRNA from 1 species